AAUAUUGGACAAUGGGCGCAAGCCUGAUCCAGCAAUGCCGCGUGAGUGAAGAAGGCCUUAGGGUUGUAAAGCUCUUUCGGCGGGGAAGAUGAUGACGGUACCCGCAGAAGAAGCCCCGGCUAACUCCGUGCCAGCAGCCGCGGUAAUACGGAGGGGGCUAGCGUUGUUCGGAAUUACUGGGCGUAAAGGGCGCGUAGGCGGUUCGGUAAGUUAGGCGUGAAAGGCCUGGGCUCAACCCGGGAACUGCGCUUGAGACUGCCGGGCUGUGAGUCCGGGAGAGGAUGGCGGAAUUCCCAGUGUAGAGGUGAAAUUCGUAGAUAUUGGGAAGAACACCAGUGGCGAAGGCGGCCAUCUGGCCCGGUACUGACGCUGAGGCGCGAAAGCGUGGGGAGCAAACAGG
rnacentral:rRNA from 1 species